rnacentral:rRNA from 1 species
GAGUUUGAUCCUGGCUCAGGAUAAACGUUGGCGGCGUGCCUAAUGCAUGCAAGUCGCACGGAGCUUCGGCUCAGUGGCGGACGGGUGAGUAACACGUAGGAACCUGCCCAGAAGUGGGGGAUAACUCCUCGAAAGAGGAGCUAAUACCGCAUACGGUCUACGGACCAAAGCAGCAAUGCGCUUCUGGAGGGGCCUGCGGUGGAUUAGCUAGUUGGUGGGGUAAAGGCCUACCAAGGCGACGAUCCAUAACUGGUCUGAGAGGACGGCCAGUCACACUGGGACUGAGACACGGCCCAGACUCCUACGGGAGGCAGCAGCAAGGAAUUUUCCGCAAUCGACGCAAGUCGGACGGAGCAACGCCGCGUGCGGGAAGACGGCCCUCGGGUUGUAAACCGCUUUUGUGAGGGAAGAAGAUCUGACGGUACCUCACGAAUAAGUCACGGCUAACUACGUGCCAGCAGCCGCGGUAAUACGUAGGUGGCGAACGUUGUCCGGAUUCACUGGGCGUAAAGCGCGCGCAGGCGGGUUGGUAAGUCUGAUGUGAAAGCUCCCGGCUCAACUGGGAGAAGCCAUUGGAUACUGCUAGCCUUGAGACACUUAGAGGAGAGUGGAAUUCCCGGUGUAGUGGUGGAAUGCGUAGAUAUCGGGAGGAACACCAGUGGCGAAAGCGGCUCUCUGGGAGUGUUCUGACGCUGAGGCGCGAAAGCGUGGGGAGCAAACCGGAUUAGAUACCCGGGUAGUCCACGCCGUAAACGAUGAGUACUAGCUGUCUGGGGUAUCGACUCCCUGGGUAGCGCAGCUAACGCGAUAAGUACUCCGCCUGGGGACUACGGCCGCAAGGCUAAAACUCAAAGGAAUUGACGGGGGC